UCCCUCUGCGGGAUCUCACGGUGCCUCUGAGGAGCCAGUAGCGAGCGCCUCCCGGCUGGGCCGCGACUGCGCCUCGGGGCCGUUACCAAGCAUUGGAACAGAUUGCCCAGAGAGAUUGUGGAGUCUCCCUCAUUGGAGAUACUGAAGAAUCGUCUGGAUGCGAUCCUGUGCAGUGUACUCAGGGCUGACCCUCCCUGGGCAGGGAGCUUGGACCAGAUGUACUUUUAUUUGCACCAGGGUUCUCUUGGUUCCCCUGACAGUAGUAAGAACAUGUGUAACAACAGUGCUUGUGUAAAACCGUAUGAAGGAAUAAAAGUUUGUUUCAGGUAACGCAAACUGCUGACAAUAUUUGUCAUCUCAUUCUUCACUGCAGUCAACGUGAACAAACACACACUGAAGAUACAACUGGAGCUGUUCUGGUACUGCCACAAAUAUGUAAAAUUAAUUAUUGCAUAAUUACUCAGAUUGAUUUUAACAAAGUCUUUAUAAAAAUUUAAAUAAAGUAUCAAAAAGUUAUAUGAUGUCUUG